UACGUAGGUGGCUAGCGUUGUCCGGAUUUACUGGGCGUAAAGAGCGCGCAGGCGGUCGUUCAAGUCGAGUGUGAAAGCCCCCGGCUCAACUGGGGAAGGUCACUCGAUACUGAUCGACUCGAAGGCAGGAGAGGGAAGCGGAAUUCCCGGUGUAGUGGUGAAAUGCGUAGAUAUCGGGAGGAACACCAGUGGCGAAGGCGGCUUUCUGGCCUGCUCUUGACGCUGAGGCGCGAAAGCUAGGGUAGCAAACGGG
rnacentral:rRNA from 1 species